GGAGAUGUACCCAAGCGGUUGAAGGGAACGGUCUUGAAAACCGUGAGGUCGGCGUAGAAAACCGGCGCGGGGGUUCAAAUCCCUCCAUCUCCGCCA
rnacentral:tRNA from 2 species